rnacentral:misc_RNA from 1 species
GUGAAUCAUCAAAUCUUUGAACGCAAAUUGCACUUUCUGGUAUUCCGGAAAGUAUGCCUGUUUGAGGGUCAGUUAAAUAAAAAAUCGGUGUUGUUGUUGCUUUUCGUGGUGACGCGUCGGGAUUGGUUGGUCUUACCUUCGGUUAAGUGAUUUAAAAUUUUGCAUGAUUUUCGAACGUAUUUAAAUUUCUUACGUACGUUUGAGAUAUCGAUUACUUUAUUAGGUUCGGUCAUCCUCAUGAUUCGCACUUUUAUUUUUUCAUUAAUUGAUCUCAAAUAAGGUAAGAA